GUGCGCUGAAUUCGCGCGCUCAUUCAAACGCUGCAGCGGAGGGAGUUGCCAUGGAAACGGUGCUUAACACUGUAACUGACGAACAGUAAAUCUCCGUCUCUCCUGCUGUUUUCACUGCUUUCAGGAGUAAUAAUAUAAUCUUUCUACAAAGGAAGAGAAGCUCCAAGAUUUCAAAAUUGCUGAAGGGAGCUGCUGACAGAAAUGCAGAAAACACAGAUUAUAUGCUGAUGGCCGUGCAGCAGAGGAGCGCAGAGUCUAUGAACCAUGUGACUAUGAAGCGGCCGAUGGAAAGGACGAGAAGGAAGACGUGAGGACCUGGAGCUGCAAGAGGGAUGCAUUUAACAAUCUCUUUCAUCACUUCAUCAUUAGACAGGUUUCUGUCAUAUAGACCAGGAGUGUCCACAACAAGC